rfam:Bacillus coagulans 36D1, complete genome.
AAUGCCUUUAAAACAGUCCCGUGAGGCUGGCAAGGUUCCGGAUAAAUGUGCACUUCCAUGCACCUUGCUUUCAUUCGGGCAAGGUGCUUUUUUU